rnacentral:rRNA from 1 species
GAGUGGCGGACGGGUGACUAACACGCGGGCAAUCUGGCCAUCAAAGGGGGAUAACUGUUGGAGAUUGGUGCUAAUACCUCAUAAUUCUUUUUGUCUCCUGACGGAAAGAUAAAAACGCUGUCGGGUGUCACUGAUGGAUGGUGCCGCGCUGCAUUAUAUUAUUGGUGGGGUAACCGAUCACCGCGGCCAUGAUGCAUAGUCGACCUGAGGGGGCGAUAGGCCACACUGGGACUGAGACACGGCCCAGACUCCUACGGGAGGCAGCAGUAGGGAAUCUUCGGCAAUGGACGAAAGUCUGACCGAGCAACGCCGCGUGAGUGAAGAAGGUUUUCGGAUCGUAAAACUCUGUUGUUAGAGAAGAACAAGUGAGAGAGUAACUGUUCUCACCUUGACGGUAUCUAACCAGAAAGCCACGGCUAACUACGUGCCAGCAGCCGCGGUAAUACGUAGGUGGCAAGCGUUGUCCGGAUUUAUUGGGCGUAAAGCGAGCGCAGGCGGUUCCUUAAGUCUGAUGUGAAAGCCCCCGGCUCAACCGGGGAAGGUCAUUGGAAACUGGGGAACUUGAGUGCAGAAGAGGAGAGUGGAAUUUCAUGUGUAGCGGUGAAAUGCGUA